AUGGACAUUGAAUCCGCUAGACUUUUCCCCUCUCUUCUCAUUAGUCUCUCUAUCAUUGCGCGUACACUAAUUUUGGGCGAAACCACAGCAUCCUUUGAGAAAAUUCCUACUUAUCAAAGAUCGAGAAUCAUUGCUGCUAGAAUCUUGUUUUGAACUAGCAACCACUAAAUCGUCUUCGAUGGUGAAGAUUGUUGAUGGUUUAGGGAUCAUUUUUCUGGUCGAUUCACGGUAGUAUCGGGAGAUUCUAUCUCCCUAGCUGUCACUGCUUAGUCCUCCCCAUCCCUUGAUUGAUCUUACAAAAAUUAGUCAGUUUCAGGCUUUCAGCCAUAAGUUUUGUGAGCUAGCAACGAGAGUAGUUGGAAGAUACGGUCAAGUAAAAAGCCUAAAAAGCCUUUCGUUAUUUUCCAUUGCCGCCCUUGUUUUGCUAUAUUUCUCUGGUUGUCUUAGUUUUUUUGAGAUGUAUGAUGAGGGGAUAAGAGGUAUUUCUUGGUAGAUUUAUAUCACACGAACCUUUAUUGCGCUUGGCAUCUUCAUAGUUUUGAAAGCACAAGUUGUAUUUUUUGUCUCUGGCUUUAAACUUUCCUUCAAGCAUUGUAGUUUGGUGUUCACGAAACCAAUAACCCAUUUUAUAUUAACUUGUGUGAAUACUGAAUUUGGGUCCACUUCCUUAUGGUUGAUUCAUCACUCUUUUCGCAAACAAGUGGGAUUUGUACCAAGUAAAUCCUGUUAGUUUUUAAGAUUAUUUUAUUUUUCUUCCUUGCGUGAUUUAGGUUGGUUUGUCGAUUUGCUUACUCCAAAACAUUGGGUGGCAUGCCAUGCAAUACCAAGAAAUAGUUGCUGAAAAACCAUAUGCAGUACAGUGGCAUCUGGUUAGAAAGAUUUUUGAUGUUGGCUAUAUUCGAACAACUUUGGAGGAUAUAUUCGACUAGCUAGCCUUGAAGAGUAAUCUUCUUGAUUAUAAUUGAACUAAAACCCUAUGUGUCUCUUCUAGUAUUAGAGUGUAAUCUAUAAAUUGUAUGACUUCAAAAUGCAAAUGGUAGAACACUUGGGUGAUAAAAAAAAAAAUUCCCUUCUCAUUCCACUUUGAAACAUUUAGGGCGGGAACAGAGCAUAGAAAGGUCAAAGAUCAUGAUAAAAAGUAGGAGCGAGGAGAAUCUUAUUAGAGGUUUAAGAAAAUAAAUGAUUGCAUAUACUGGCGUGAGUUUGCACAGUGAACUACCAAGCAACAUGUUAUGUGCUGGGCUAAUUGGGUCUCACUUCAUUAGUUGUAAUGGUCAAUUUUUUGUACAUUGGGUUUGCUUAUAGUCUAGACAAUCAUGAUCCUUUCAUAAAUUAAUAUUGCAUAUAUAUAUAUAGGGGUCCAUUUAUAUAAAUUAUAACAGAUGGUUUUGCAAACUGAGGGUAGAACCAAAACAAUAAGUUGGAAAAAGUGGCAGAGUUUUUAAAAAUGACUGGUUUUGGUUUUGGUUUUGGAAGAAGAAAGAAGAAAGUGGAUGCAGAGUUUAUACAGAAUAAUUUUUUUCUUCUUAGGUCAAUGUAGCCUCUGUAUGGUUUAGAUUUGAAAAGAAUGGAGGAUACGGAAGGAUAAUUGCAGAAAUCUGAAGACAUCUUCAUUUCUUAAGCAACUAUAGCCCUUUUCUCCUUCGUUUCCCUGCUUCUUUCCAGGAUCUAGAAGGAGAUGCAUAUGUAAUUCAACAUGCAUAAAUUAUAAACAAAGUAGGAAUCGAGCGUAGGCUUGAUAUGGAUUAUUUUUUGUUGAAUUUGGAGUUAUACAAAGAGCCAAGAGCUGAAAUUUUCAUUUUUAGGUCAAUUAGCUUGCUUUAUUUUUUGGCAUCAUCCAAGAAUAUCUUCCAAAUAAUAAAGAACUUUUGUAUACCAUCUAUUGAGUAGUCCAACUCCAAAGCUCCCAUGAACAUUCUGCCAAAAAAUAGAUACAGGUUACAUGACUUUUUAUUUUUAUCUUUCGUUUUUCUUAUGGUUUUGAAUACUUAAUAAUUAUUUAUUGUCUGGGGAUGUGCAUGCAUGGCUGGUUAUGGGGUCGACCCAUCUCUACUGUAAGGUUUUGAGUACUUAAUAAUUAUUUAUUGGCUGGGGAUGUGCAUGCAUGGCUGGUUAUGGGGUUAACCCAUCUCUACUGUAAGAAAUAUAUAUAUAUAUAUAUAAAUUUUGUAUAUCAAAUCAGCUUGAAAGUAUUUUGUCUUUUCAGAGAUAGAUCAAUAGGCCACCAACAUUAUCUUUCACUCCCAAACAAAGCUCUUUGCCUUUUGGAUUUUUGCAUUACUCGAUUGAUCGCCAAGGCAUCUAAAACAAAUAAAAGACAAAACUAAGCCCCACUAAGAUCAAAAUAAGGUGUUGGAUACCUGUAGCUUGCUUUAUAUACACUGAAAGGUUAGAAAGGAUCCAAGUAUGAGCAGCUCAUCAGUGUGCAUGCAUGGGUUGAUAUACCAUAACAGCUUCUGGGCAUGAAGAUCCAAGGCCUGGCAGGAAGGACCAACAUUCAAGUCAUGACACUCAACAUACUAGGCAAACAGAGUAGUCAAUCGGACGAAGCUACCUUGUUUUAUGCUUCUUUCCAGGAGUAUAACCUAACCAAUUAACAACCUAUGUGGAAUAGAAUGUAGUUUAAACUAUAAUAGUUGACCUUUUAUAGUGUUAGGAUCUGUUUAUUUCAUAUCAUUCCUCAUUUAUUUCUUUAUUUAUCAUUCCUCAGUUUCCACUUUCCAAUCUUCCCUUUAUUUGUUGUCUUGCAAUCUUCUUGAUUUCACCAUCUUUAUGGUGAUUGAUUGCAUAGCGAUGGUGGACCAAAUUGUUGGUUUAGUUGCAUUGCAGUAGAUGUAACCACAAUGGCCAUUGAAUACCCCCUGCAAAACCCACAAAACCACGUGUAAUUUAGGUAACCAAUUAUUGUGGCACAUUGUGAUAACCACUUAUUGUCACCAAAAAUAUGAAAUGGAGUUUUUUUUUUUUUUUUUGAAUGGAAACCUUUUUAUAGCUCAAAAAAUGCCUUACAUAGCUUCUUGUAAUACAAUUUCAGAAAUACACUCGGGGACAUUUUCAAUAUCCAUUAAUGGAUUUGUAAGUGACAUUGCAUCUUUGGCAAGGCCUUGUGCAGCUUUAUUUCCACUCUCCUUGUGUAGUUGAUGGACCAAAUGGCAAAUGAAUAUGAUAUACUUUUUGUCCAGUUGCAAUCCCACUAGACUCUAAUCAUUCCCUACCUUCAUGAGGGAGUUAACAACUUGCAUUAAGUCCCCUUCUAUUCUAAACCUCCUGAUUCCUAUGUCUUUACAAAAAUUAAUGAUGACUUGCAUUGCAACCACUGAAGCCAACAGAGGUCCUGCAACGUACUCUCUAGAGUCACGACAAGCCCCAAUGACCUGUCCAAAGAAAAAGUAAUAAUUACUCCAAUGCCUAUCUUGCCUCUAGCCUCAUCCACUAUUGCAUUCCAAUUCACCUUGAAUGAUUUUGAAGCAGGUUUCAUCCAGGCCCCAUGUUGAGCAUUUGAGUUCAUGUCUGGUUGAGAUGCCUCUUGUGUUGCUUGAAAUAAUAGCACCUCCUCCUUUGCUCUCUGGACCAAAUAAAGGGGAUUUUGUAUCUUCCUUUUAAACACAAAAGCAUUCCUCCUUAACCAGAUCGACCUGACUAUAACAUCAGUGAUUUCAAGUUCAUCUUUGUUCAAUUUUCUAGUAAGUUCUCUCCAUAUUUCUACAAAACUCUCACUCAAGAAAGACAUCUUUUGGACCUUUAUCUAACCAUGCUCCACACAUCUCGGGCUGCCACACAAGACCAGAGGGCAUUUCCUGCAACUUCUAGAUAGGCCUUACAAAUUGGACAUCUAUCUUCUUCUAUCACCUUUCUUUUGUAGAGAUUGGAACAAGUAGGGAUAGCAUCUCUACAAGCUUUCAAAAUGUGCAUCUUCACAGAGUUUGGUACAUUUAGCCUCCAAAUGUAUCUCCAUAUCUCAUCAUUCCUUUGCCUAUUCAAAGGGCUAGUUUUAAAUCUGGUAGUCAUUUCUCUGUGAGCAUAGUAGGCACCUUUACAGAUAGCUUACCAUCUUUUGAAUGUAACCAAACCAGUUUAUCUUCCCUCUCUACUAAGCUGAUUGGUAUCUUAGAACUUGAUUUACUUUUGGGGGGCUGAAAAUCUGGUUCAGAAACUGCACAUUCCACCAUCUUGUCUCUGGGUUGAUUAAUUCUGCUACUUUAGCAUGCUCUCCAAUGCUUGGGGCCUCUGAACUAUAAUGUAUCAAAAUUUAAUUCAAUUCAUUCACCACACCAAAUGAAACAUUCCAAGGUAUCAAGAACACUGUUGAUCACUAGUUCUGACAUUAUAAGCUUCCCAAUUCUCUAAUAUGCAUUCCUUUCCAACAAAACACUCCACGGUGUUUGGAUUGCCAAUGGUAGUGGGUUCUGUAACUAUUGUGUACAUUCUUUGUUAUUGACUAUAUGCUGCUUAAUUCCACCCUUUUAGUUCCUCUCCCAAUUGAUUCCAAAAUAAUAAUAAUAAUAAUAAUAAUAAUAAUAAUAAUAAUAAUAAUAAUAAUAAAAAAUAAACAAUCUACAGUGAUCAAUUCAUGCAUUACUCAAUGAAUAUAGUCAAUUCCAGCAAGCUUGGCCAGUACUUCAAUGUAACUCCAACUAUAUUUUCGAAGGACUAGCAAGAAUAGAACAUGACCUGAAUAGCAGUAUCAGUUUCCAAUGCUAUUGUUUGACUAACAGUAGUAUUGCUUUAAAAAAAAAAUUGAUCUUUUGAUCAAUGGACUCCUUCAGAUACUGGCCAAAACAAUUGUAAUCAUGCGCAAUACACAAACUUUAUCAUUAGAAGAAUUAGAGAAUAACAGAAUAGGAGCAUACAGUCAUGUAACAGGGAGAAGUUUUAGCAACCAUGCUCCAGUCCACCUUACUAUCAAAUGGCUUAUAGCAGAAAAAACCCCAACUAAUGAAUCAUAAGUAGUAGCACUCCCCCAAUAUUCACAUGUUGCUUCCCUUAAGAAAAAUCCGAUUCUCCUCCUUCCCUCCACCAUGUUGCCAUACAUAAAGUUAUAGCUGCUAGAUGUUUUUAAUACUCUGCAAGUUUCAUCAACCAAAAUGAUGAAAUUUUUAAUGAUAGAUUCGACUAUGUUGACUAAGAUGAAAUGCACAAAUGGGUUUAUUUGAGUGUUGCUCACUCUGCUUAUAGCAAUGACAUUUCAAAUUUGUUAGUUGGUAGCUAGGAAACUCUAUAUGAAUCCUGUGAGCAUAAGUUAGUGUGGUUUCCAUUUGCUCCAUUGCCAUUUAAAUUAAUUCCAUUUGAUUUGUACUAAUUAACUAAGACUUUCUAUUUUAUUCUAUUUUCAGAAUUCUUGAAGCAUGCUGGAAAUCUAAAUUUAUAUAUCUGGGUAUAGGAACAUCAUGUACACUACUAGCUAGCUGGUUAGGUGCCCAAGUUGUGAAAGGUCCAUGGAUCUUGUCCUUAGAUGAGUGGGUAGACUUAUUGGUAAAUCCAUUAUUGUCUAAAAGACCAUUAUUGUUCAAGAGGAGAAUGAACGUGAUGUUCAUAUCAACAACAUGUGGGUGGAUUCAAUGUACAUUGAAGAAGACAAUUUGACAUCCAGUAUGGGAAUGUAUAACAAGAUGAUGUCUUUGGUGGCAGCCAAAUGCUUAAUGAAGGUCAUGAAAGAUUAGUAUUUACUAUGAAUGAACUAGGGAGAUUGUUUUCUCAGUGAUUUUUAGCAAUUUUUUGAGCAUGUCUUAUUAAGGAAUGGUAGAUUUUAAGAGGUGGUGAAUAUAUCUACAAUUCCUAAGAAUUUGAUAUUUCUAUUGAGACUUCCAUCCAAAUUAAUGUGAUUCUUAUAUAAUUAAGAUGGUUUGACAGGUCAAAAGGAUUACAAGAACACAUAAAAUCGUUAGCCCCUAGCAAGUUUUAAUCAAUUAGCAAAGGGACUAAAAGGGACUACUGCUAAAGACACAGUGUUGCCUGAGAGACUAAGUGAAUUGGAGAAGAAGUGUUUUUGAGCCAAGAUCACACCUGCUUUUUACCAGUAACUUAUCAAACUAUUCACCAUGCAGUUCUUGAAUCUAGAUGUAUGGACUACUUUAGCAAGUUGCUAUAUUGUUGAAAAUUUCUGUUUUAGGAUGUUAUUUAUAUUGGCUGAUAGAUCAGGUGGCAUUUUAUGUGGAUCAUGUUUAAUGAUAGCUGAAGUAAUCUAUAAAAUAUGUGUGUUUAUAUGGAA